rnacentral:ncRNA from 1 species
UUUCUAUUAGUUACUAGUGAACUUACACAUGCAAGAAUCCUCACACCUGUGAAAAUGCCCUCUAAUCAUAUUAUGACCAAAGGAGCCGGUAUCAAGCACACUAAAAGUAGCUCAUAACACCUUGCUCAGCCACACCCCCACGGGAAACAGCAGUGAUAGAAAUUAAGCAAUAAACGAAAAUUUGACUAAGUUACACUAAUAAGGACUGGUAAAUUUCGUGCCAGCCACCGCGGUCAUACGAUUAGUCCGAACUAAUAAAUAUCCGGCGUAAAGUGUGUUUUAGAGAGUACUUAACAAUAAAGUCAAACUAUAACCAAGCUGUAAAAAGCCUUAGUUAUUGUAAGAACUUCCACGAAAGUGACUUUAAAACCUCUGAAUACACAAUAGCUAAGACCCAAACUGGGAUUAGAUACCCCACUAUGCCUAGCCCUAAACAUAGAGAAUUACGAACAAAAUUAUUCGCCAGAGUACUACUAGCCAAAGCUUAAAACUCAAAGGACUUGGCGGUACCUUAUAUCCUUCUAGAGGAGCCUGUUCCAUAAUCGAUAAACCCCGAUAUACCUUACCAAUCUUUGCCAAAUCAGCCUAUAUACCGCCAUCUUCAGCAAACCUUGAAAAAGAAAAACAGUAAGCACAAUCAUCAACAUAAAAACGCUAGGUCAAGGUGUAGCUCAUAGAUUGGAGAGAAAUGGGCUACAUUUCCCAAACUAGGGACACAAUCACGAAAACUUAUGUGAAAUCAUCAGUUAAAGGUGGAUUUAGUAGUAAAUUAAGAAUAGAGCGCUUAAUUGAAUUAGGCCAUGAGGUACGCACACACCGCCCGUCACCCUCCUCAAACAACAAAUAUUAACUUAUUCAU